rnacentral:rRNA from 1 species
AGAGUUUGAUCUUGGCUCAGGAUGAACGCUGGCGGCGUGCUUAACACAUGCAAGUCGAACGAAACACCUUAUUUGAUUUUCUUCGGAACUGAAGAUUUGGUGAUUGAGUGGCGGACGGGUGAGUAACGCGUGGGUAACCUACCCUGUACAGGGGGAUAACAGUCAGAAAUGACUGCUAAUACCGCAUAAGACCACAGCACCGCAUGGUGCAGGGGUAAAAACUCCGGUGGUACAGGAUGGACCCGCGUCUGAUUAGCUGGUUGGUGAGGUAACGGCUCACCAAGGCGACGAUCAGUAGCCGGCUUGAGAGAGUGAACGGCCACAUUGGGACUGAGACACGGCCCAAACUCCUACGGGAGGCAGCAGUGGGGAAUAUUGCACAAUGGGGGAAACCCUGAUGCAGCGACGCCGCGUGAGUGAAGAAGUAUCUCGGUAUGUAAAGCUCUAUCAGCAGGGAAGAUAAUGACGGUACCUGACUAAGAAGCACCGGCUAAAUACGUGCCAGCAGCCGCGGUAAUACGUAUGGUGCAAGCGUUAUCCGGAUUUACUGGGUGUAAAGGGAGCGCAGGCGGUGCGGCAAGUCUGAUGUGAAAGCCCGGGGCUCAACCCCGGUACUGCAUUGGAAACUGUCGUACUAGAGUGUCGGAGGGGUAAGCGGAAUUCCUAGUGUAGCGGUGAAAUGCGUAGAUAUUAGGAGGAACACCAGUGGCGAAGGCGGCUUACUGGACGAUAACUGACGCUGAGGCUCGAAAGCGUGGGGAGCAAACAGGAUUAGAUACCCUGGUAGUCCACGCCGUAAACGA